GCCCGGUUAGCUCAGUCGGUAGAGCAUUUGACUUUUACUGGCCCCCGGCGACGGGGGAGGCAGUGCAUCAAAAUGUCGCGGGUUCGAGCCCCCCAUUGGGCG
rnacentral:tRNA from 1 species